rnacentral:rRNA from 1 species
AUGCAAAAUGUUAGUAGUUCAAAUAGAUCCAAAUAUGAUUCUCUUCGACAACUCUACAAGGACUUGGGUGACGAGGAGGAAAAGUUACGUGUCUUAGGCACAUUAUCUUCUUGCCUGGAUAAGGAUAUUGUUCUUGAGUCACUGAAUUUAAUAUUCACUAAUGAGGUCCCAAAUUAUCAUGCAGUUUAUGUUCUUAAAGGUAUUGGAAUAGAUGCACGUGAAACGACAUGGAGUUGGUUGAAGGAAAAUUGGGACCGUGUCCUGAAGGUUGUUCCCAAAAGAGACCUACUAUGGAGUAUUGUGAACGACAUUCUUCCAUUGUUCACUACCAAUGAAAAGGCAGAAGAGAUUGCCAAGGUCUUCAGAAACUACACGGAUUCGGAACUUCAGAGUGCACUACAAGUAAAACUUCAGAUGGUGAGUAUCAACAUGAGAUGGAUCGACGGUAUCCAGAGUGAGCCCAACCUUGCACAGAUGGUGGAUGAACUGCUUCACAAGCCCUAA